UACAGUGGCGUACGGGUGAGUAACACGUGGGGUAAUCUACCUCUUAGUGAGGGAAUAAACCCUGGGAAACCGGGGCUAAUACCGCAUAAGCCUGAGAAGGGAAAGCAGAAAUGCGCUGAGAGAGGAGCCCGCGGCCGAUUAGCUAGUUGGUGAGGUAAGAGCCCACCAAGGCAGAGAUCGGUAGCCGGCCUGAGAGGGCACACGGCCACACUGGCACUGAAACACGGGCCAG
rnacentral:rRNA from 1 species